rnacentral:rRNA from 1 species
CCUACGGGGAGCUGCAGUGAGGAAUAUUGGUCAAUGGGCGGAAGCCUGAACCAGCCAAGUAGCGUGCAGGAUGACGGCCCUACGGGUUGUAAACUGCUUUUAUACGGGAAUAACGCGCCUUACGUGUAGGGCUUUGCAUGUACCGUAUGAAUAAGGACCGGCUACUUCCGUGCCAGAACCCGCGGUAAUACGGAAGGUCAGGGCUUUAUCCGGAUUUUUGGGGUUUAACGGGUGGGCAGGCGGCAGGUCAGAGGUGCGGUGAACUUUCCGUGCGGAACCCGGGCCUUGCAGCGCGAACUGGCGUGCUUGAGUCCGCGGAAAGCAGGCGGAAUUCGUCGUGUAGCGGUGAAAUGCUUAGAUAUGACGAAGAACCCCGAUUGCGAAGGCAGCUUGCUGGAGCGGAACUGACGCUGAUGCUCGAAAGCGCGGGUAUCGAACAGGAUUAGAUACCCCAGUAGUC